GAGACCUGACCUGCUGAAUUUUCAGGUCCAGGCACUUACUCCUACUACUUGCGCCCAUACUGCAGGCUGCAAGUGCUACCUAUGCCCAAGGUCAGGGCGCAAAUGCAGACCAUAAGUGGCCACCGACCCUUUUUUCUCUUAUUUUGUUUGGGCUUUGAUUUUAGGGUUUUCUCAUGUACUAUAAAUAUCCUUUAUGUGUUUUUUAG
rnacentral:lncRNA from 1 species